GGAAGGUUCUGGAUUGCAGGGAGAAAGGCAAUUAAUGAGUGAUUACUAUUUAAAGACAAAACCCCUGUCAAAACAGCUUGACCAAAAAAAAAUGUGAGUUUUUUUUGUUGUUUUUUUUUUUAACUCACAACUUGCAGUAGUGCUGCCAGCAAAAAUAGUGGGUGGUAAUUCUGCCAGCUAAAAGGGUGCCGAAAUGCAGUUGGGUGAGAAGAACAACUCUGUCCCCUCCUCCAUUCCCUUUCAGCAGUGACUGAGUGGGCUACCUCCCAGGCCUGUUCCUGCAGUGCCCCUUGGUUCUUCAUGAGACUAUUCAGGGUGUUUUUCUGGGCAAGUAACUCCAAAGGCAAGCAUGAGAGCAGCUCGAAGACUUAAGAACAUGUCACAGGACUGGGAGGAAUGGAAGGUGUCACAUCAGAAUAACAAUAGCUCUUGACAAAUGGAUGCACAGCCAUUCCCAUAAACAGGAAUUUCCCUGCAGGAAAACUUCCUCCCAUGGGAUCUUCAAUUUGAUGAAAGCAAUUACAGGACAAAGAGGCUGAUUUCCCCUGCAUCUGCUGAGGUGAAGCCAGUGCUAAGGUUUCACUUAUACUGAAGAAAUUCUUGGUUUCCUCCAGAACAGAACACCCUGAAAUAUGAAGCUAAUCUCAUCAGAGGGACAGGCACCUUACCAAGAUGAAAAUUCCUUAAGAUUUAUUUGCCCAGCCUUAAAGCUUAGACAACUUAUUAAGAGUUACAAUAGUUUUGUCAAAAAUGACAGCCUUCAGUGCUUCACAGAAGCCAUAAAAAAAACAAAGUCCAAUACCGAUGUGUUUUCGUUAACUGAAAAUAUCAGUGACCAACAAAUACAAAGUUUCAUUAGAAAUCAUCAAGAAAAACCAGGCUUGGGAAGAUAAAUUCCUUGAUGCCCAUGUUUUAAAAAUGAUCCUGUCUGUGGAUUAAACUGCAAGUCAUUUGGGCCAUUGCUCAGCCGAAAAGACAAAUGUUUCAGAGUAGAAGGCCACUCUCCUCUGGCCUCAAUGAAAACGCAUGUCACCUUCCGGCUACAGACCCAGGUGGCCGCCUACCACCUUGCAUUCUCAGGAGCAAUGCCCACCUGUGCACAACACAUGAAAGAACAUGUUCACGGAACACCUACUGUAUGGCCACCACUAUGCUAAAAAUUUUUCAGAAGGUUUCUCAUUUUGAACUCAGAAUAAAGAGUUAUUUAUACACAUUAUGACUGUUUACCCAUUAUAAAAAUGUAGGCUCAGAAAACUUAGUACUUGCUCCAGUACACAGAGCCAAGCAGCUAAGCUCCAAGAAUUUACACUACACACACACCACGGGGGAAAGAAAGCACUUUCAUCUGAGGAAUGUGAGCCCUUACAAACUGUGAGGCCCAGAGAAGCAUUAAAAUGAGAACUCAAUCAUGCCCUACUCCCUGCUUCAGCUAUGUAUUCGUCUCUCAAAGCAGCUUCCUGUUGCCAAAAGUAGCUAUAAAUUAAUCUAAUAAUGCCACACUGGACACUAUAACCCAUACCGUAUAGCUUAACCAUGUAUAGCCAUAUCACUAAUCAAUGUUAUUUCUGUAAACCAAUGAGAAUUCCUGACAAACAACUUUGCAUCUGCCCACUCUGUCUCCUUUUUCUGCCUUUAAAAAUCCACUGUGGCCUGGCUCCACAGCUCACAACUGUAAUUCCAACAUUUUGGGAGGCCAAGACAGGAGGAUCACUUGAGGCCAGGAGUUUGAGACUGGCCUGGGCAA
rnacentral:lncRNA from 1 species